ACGACGCUGGCGGCGUGCCUAACACAUGCAAGUCGAGCGGAGACAUGUAACGGAGAGGGAAGAUUCGGUUGGAACUCGAAGGUACAUGUUUAGCGGCGGACGGGUGAGUAACGCGUGAGCAACCUGUCCCUUACAGGGGGAUAACACAUCGAAAGGUGUACUAAUACCGCAUAAGACCACGGGAGGACAUCCUUCAGGGGUCAAAGGAGCAAUCCGGUAAGGGGUGGGCUCGCGUCCGAUUAGAUAGUUGGUGAGGUAACGGCCCACCAAGUCGACGAUCGGUAGCCGACCUGAGAGGGUGAUCGGCCACAUUGGGACUGAGACACGGCCCAAACUCCUACGGGAGGCAGCAGUGGGGAAUAUUGGGCAAUGGGGGGAACCCUGACCCAGCAACGCCGCGUGAGGGAAGAAAAGGUUUUCGGAUCGUAAAACUCUGUUGUCAGAGAAGAACAAGUUGGAGAGUAACUGCUCCAGCCUUGACGGUAUCUGACCAGAAAGCCACGGCUAACUACGUGCCAGCCGCCGC
rnacentral:rRNA from 1 species